rnacentral:rRNA from 1 species
AUUGAACGCUGGCGGCAUGCCUAACACAUGCAAGUCGAACGGAAACGAUGGGAGCUUGCUCCCAGGCGUCGAGUGGCGGACGGGUGAGUAAUACUUAGGAAUCUGCCCAGUAGUGGGGGACAACCCGGGGAAACCCGGGCUAAUACCGCGUAAUCUCUACGGAGGAAAGAGGGCCUCUUCUUGAAAGCUCUCGCUAUUGGAUGAGCCUAAGUCGGAUUAGCUUGUUGGUGGGGUAAAGGCCUACCAAGGCGACGAUCCGUAGCUGGUCUGAGAGGACGAUCAGCCACACUGGGACUGAGACACGGCCCAGACUCCUACGGGAGGCAGCAGUGGGGAAUAUUGGACAAUGGGGGCAACCCUGAUCCAGCAAUGCCGCGUGUGUGAAGAAGGCCUGCGGGGUUGUAAAGCACUUUCAGUAGAAGAAGAAAAG